rnacentral:siRNA from 1 species
UGCUGAUGGGUUAGCUAACUAUGC